GGAAGUAGAAGUCGUAACAAGGUCUCCGUUGGUGAACCAGCGGAGGGAUCAUUAUCGAGUUUAUAACUCCCAAACCCUAUGUGAACUUACCACUUGUUGCUUCGGCGCGCGCUUCGGUGCCGCCGAGGACACUUAAACUCUUUGUUUUUAUAAGCAUUUCUGAGUGGCCGAAAGGCAAAAUACAAAUGAAUCAAAACUUUCAACAACGGAUCUCUUGGUUCUG
rnacentral:misc_RNA from 1 species